GGGAGCGGGAGAGAUGCUUGCUGGUGUUUCAGCAGAGGCUCCUGCCAAGAAGCAGACACUGCCCUUGACAGAUCAUUGAGAGCUGGUAGGAAGACACGCGCUUGCACUGGACUGUGAACCUCCCUCCCAAGCCAGGACACCUGCAGGAGGAGGAAAGCUCUGCUGGCCUGCUCAGGGAGUACAACACGAUGGCAUUUACACCUCGGUGGAUCUUUCCUAGGUUGUGGGGUGGGAAUGGGCAGGACAAGGGCUUGCAAUGGCAUGUCCUGCCUGUGGGAUAGCCUUUCACGAGGGAGAGCAGACCUACUGAGGCAGCUGAACCCAAGCUGAUGUUCCUUGUAGGUCCCCUCCAACUGAAUUAUUCUAAAUCUACUUCUGUUUUCACCACCCAUCACCCAGAACCAGAGUUUUGCCUGUAGCAGUCAAAUGUCUUCACAUGAAGUCCUACGUGGUCCAAGGAGCUGCAUUAUCCCCUCACCGCAUCGCGUGUGGGAAGUGUGAAAAGGCAGCAAAAAGGCAGCAAAGGAAAGAAAGCCAGGAAGGGAAUUGCAGUGGUCUGCUGAGAUGCCCAAGGAUCCUCCUGACGCAGGAGGAGCUACAGCAGCUCUCCUGUCACAGGAAGCUGUUCACCUGACCACUGAUGGUCCUCAUUUUCCCCAAUCUACCCUUAAAAGCCCUCUAAAAGCCCCAGCUCUUCCAGUCUGGGGAAUACAUGAAAUGUGGGAUGUAUUAGAUGCAUUAAGCAAUAGCAGCAAACUUAUAGAAAACAGGAAAAUCAACAGCAACAACAACGAAAAAGGAAUCUUGAAAUUUGGCAGAAAAAAUGCAGUGCAAACCCCACAAGAACAUAUCUUUGCACAAAGCCACUUACGGAUGCAUUCCUUAAAGGUAAUCCCUUCAGACAGAGUGAGGCUGCCAUUUCUUUGAAAGAUAUUAAAGCAGCUGUUGCUAGAACAGAGAGAAUUACUGAGCUAUCUGUCAAGGGAUGGACAUUUGUAGGGCUAUAUCUACUUUUUUUUUAAUUUAUAGUUUAUUUUGAUACCAGUUUUCCAGCUACUGAAGGUAAUUGAGACAGCAAACAAAAUCUCACUAUCGACUGAUCUGCCAAAUCAAAUUUUUUCUCCUGUAAGUAUAGUGUUUUUCCUUAGCUUCAGAGAGGAAAAGAAUUAUGCGGAAUGAAUAAGAAAGAAAAGGGAUUAGUUUAUAUAAUGACCAUAGCAGCCAUCUCUCCCUUGAUCUGUCGUAGUUCACUCUCGAAGAUGGGAAUGAUUAUUAUUGUAAUUUAGAACAGAGCUUGUUCAUUUUCCUUCUGCUGCAUCUGCUUACUACUCUCCAAAUUAAUACAUAUUUUAAUAAAAACUAAAUAUCUUGACUAUAGCUGGGAUAUUGGAUGAUCCCAGCUGGAAUAUGGAUGGAGCAAGAUUUUUAUCACCUUUUGUUCCCCUCGUGGAAUGACUGUGCACUGCCCUCGUCCUUGAAAGGAAUUAAAGUAGCCAUGAGGUUAUUUUGAUGACUUCUGGCUACCAGAGGCCUCAAAAGAAGGCAUCUAAGGCAGUAAAAUAGCAGCUAUGUGUCUCCUGUGCUGUUUUCAAGCAGUGUGAUGCUUCUGAGGGAUCUCCAGGAGCUCUCUGUCACUGGAGCAGCUCCCUGCUCCAUGGUGGUCCUCCCACACCCAGCACCAGGGCUGGAUGGGUGUUGCAGUAGGAAUGGGCUAAGGGAGCUGAGCUUCCCUCGUGUUUUUUUCACUAGCUAAUGUCAGAAAAUAGAAUGUUUCUAUCUGCCUUCAAAAUGACAGUGGAUUUUUGCUCUCUUUGGGGACUACUUGCACUCCCAUGGACCUGUCCCAUCCGUCUGAUGCUCCUGUACUAUGGUAAUCAAAUUUGAUGCCAACGCGGCAACUGGGCUUUCCUCCUUCUCUCUUUUCUGCACUGAGAUUUUCACUGGUCUCAACUCUUACUGAGAGGUUUUUUUAAACCAAAGAGUUGAAGAUGAACUAUUUCAUAUGCUUGUUCUCCUGAAGUUGCUUUAACACUUUUGUAGCUCUAAGGUGAGCCAAUUCACCCCUAAAAUCCAGGUAUUCACACCUAAUCACUCCAGCACAAUGCUCCCCCAAGGUGGGAAAGCAGCCUUGAGGUGACAGCUCUGCAGCAUUUUGGGGAACUCAGGAUUAGUAAUGGGAUUUAACUCUGCAGAACUCAUACAAAACUCACAGAGACUGUCCUUCACUUCAAAACAUCUGUUAAUUCUACUUGAGUGCUCAUCAUCGAAAGACUGCCUAUAUUUUUCCUUUCAGGUUUGCGAAAAUAAGCACUGGUGAAUGAAGAUGAAAGAGAAAUGUUGCUGGUUUCUUCCCUGGAGAUCGUAUUUCUUACUUGUUGCAUAACUGCUUAUUUUAGCAUCAAUCAGCCAAGCCUUUGUUGUGCAGACAAUUCUGUCCUUUUAAAGGAUUUGUGCAGUAUUGUUUCUUCCAAAAUGCUUUUUUUUUGUUUUUAUAAUUAGAUUUAUUUCCUCUCUUAGCAAAUGCCAACUGACAACAGCCUGUCAAAGCUCUUCGUAAGUGUUACAUAAAUGUCAUACUAUGUAAACUGAGUGUUGUAUGUAACAUAUACAUGACCUUUCUGGAGAACCAUCCAUCAA